rnacentral:rRNA from 1 species
CACCACAACAGGUGGAGCUGCGGUUUAAUCGGACUCAACGCCGGGAAACUCACCAGAUAAGACAGCUGAAUGAUAGUCGGGCUGAAGACUCUACUUGACUAGCUGAGAGGAGGUGCAUGGCCGUCGUCAGUUCGUACUGUGAAGCAUCCUGUUAAGUCAGGCAACGAGCGAGACCCACGCCAACAGUUGCCAGCUCGUCCUCCGGGAUGGUGGGGACACUGUUGGGACCGCCUCUGCUAAAGAGGAGGAAGGAAUGGGCAACGGUAGGUCAGCAUGCCCCGAAUUAUCUGGGCUACACGCGGGCUACAAUGGGUGGGACAAUGGGUAUCGACACCGAAAGGUGAAGGCAAUCUCCUAAACCCAUCCGUAGUUCGGAUUGUGGGCUGCAACUCGCCCACAUGAAGCUGGAAUCUGUAGUAAUCGUGUCUCAAAAUGGCACGGUGAAUAUGUCCCUGCUCCUU